rnacentral:lncRNA from 1 species
GCAGCCUACAAUUCCCGCGGUGAAUCUCGUGGCGCGCUUGUUUAUGACGACACACAACAUAUAAAUACCGUUCAUUCACGUGAUAGCGUUCUCUUGGAGUCGGUGCCAUCUUUUUGAGACACUCCUCCCAAACAUGAGAGGGAAGUGGAAAAAGAAGCGAAUGCAUAGGCUGAAGCGCAAAAGGAGAAAGAUGAGGCAGAGGUCCAAGUUAACUGCUUCCCUUCUGCUGCAGCUGGAACCAACCCUCCUAGACCUUCCCACGAACCUCCUAGACCUUCCCACCGACCCCUCACCUUUUCCAGAAUUCCAAGCUGAGGCCUUUUGAAGGACUCUUACAUUCCUCAGAAGGAUGCGGGCACCCUUGUUGGAUCUCCUGGCUCUUCUAUUAGUGAUGUGAAGGCUUCUCUUGGACAUUCUGGACUUCCGCCAGCUCUGCAAAGUUGCUGUUUUUGUGUAUUUCCUUGAAUAAAGAAAUUUGAUUUAGAAAAUGGAAGCGCUGU